rnacentral:sRNA from 1 species
UUAACUACUACUGUUUAAUUCCUAAUAUUUAGCAAUCGCCAAAUCUGGCAUUAAAGUUCCAGUUCUCACUGACUUGGUGUUAAAGAAUCCUGAUGUUAAAUUUGUGCAGGGUGCCAUUGUUCUGUCAUCUGACGUCAUAUAUCAAAAUAUACAAUAGUAAAUAUUUCUUGAAACGAUA